rnacentral:rRNA from 1 species
UGAGGAAUAUUGGUCAAUGGGCGGGAGCCUGAACCAGCCAAGCCGCGUGAGGGAAGAAGGUACAGCGUAUCGUAAACCUCUUUUGUCAGGGAACAAAGGCGGGGACUAGUCCCCGGAUGAGGGUACCUGAAGAAAAAAGCAUCGGCUAACUCCGUGCC